ACACAUGCAAGUCGAGGGGCAUCAGUUUGGUUUGCUUGCAAACCAAAGCUGGCGACCGGCGCACGGGUGAGUAACACGUAUCCAACCUGCCUCAUACUCGGGGAUAGCCUUUCGAAAGAAAGAUUAAUAUCCGAUAGCAUAUAUUUCCCGCAUGGGUUUUAUAUUAAAGAAAUUCGGUAUGAGAUGGGGAUGCGUUCCAUUAGUUUGUUGGCGGGGUAACGGCCCACCAAGACUACGAUGGAUAGGGGUUCUGAGAGGAAGGUCCCCCACAUUGGAACUGAGACACGGUCCAAACUCCUACGGGAGGCAGCAGUGAGGAAUAUUGGUCAAUGGACGCGAGUCUGAACCAGCCAAGUAGCGUGAAGGAUGACUGCCCUAUGGGUUGUAAACUUCUUUUAUAUGGGAAUAAAGUGGUCCACGUGUGGAUUUUUGUAUGUACCAUAUGAAUAAGGAUCGGCUAACUCCGUGCCAGCAGCCGCGGUAAUACGGAGGAUCCGAGCGUUAUCCGGAUUUAUUGGGUUUAAAGGGAGCGUAGGCGGAUUGUUAAGUCAGUUGUGAAAGUUUGCGGCUCAACCGUAAAAUUGCAGUUGAUACUGGCAGUCUUGAGUGCAGUAGAGGUGGGCGGAAUUCGUGGUGUAGCGGUGAAAUGCUUAGAUAUCACGAAGAACUCCGAUUGCGAAGGCAGCUCACUGGAGUGUAACUGACGCUGAUGCUCGAAAGUGUGGGUAUCAAACAGGAUUAGAUACCCUGGUAGUCCACACAGUAAACGAUGAAUACUCGCUGUUUGCGAUAUACAGUAAGCGGCCAAGCGAAAGCAUUAAGUAUUCCACCUGGGGAGUACGCCGGCAACGGUGAAACUCAAAGGAAUUGACGGGGGCCCGCACAAGCGGA
rnacentral:rRNA from 1 species